rnacentral:rRNA from 1 species
GACGAACGCUGGCGGCAUGCCUAACACAUGCAAGUCGAGCGAGUUGAUCCCUUCGGGGUGAAGCUAGCGGCGGACGGGUGAGUAACACGUGGGCAACCUGCCUCAUAGAGGGGAAUAGCCUUCCGAAAGGAAGAUUAAUACCGCAUAAGAUUGUAGCUUCGCAUGAAGCAGCAAUUAAAGGAGCAAUCCGCUAUGAGAUGGGCCCGCGGCGCAUUAGCUAGUUGGUGAGGUAACGGCUCACCAAGGCGACGAAGCGUAGCCGACCUGAGAGGGUGAUCGGCCACAUUGGGACUGAGACACGGCCCAGACUCCUACGGGAGGCAGCAGUGGGGAAUAUUGCACAAUGGGGGAAACCCUGAUGCAGCAAUGCCGCGUGAGUGAUGACGGCCUUCGGGUUGUAAAGCUCUGUCUUCGGGGACGAUAAUGACGGUACCCGAGGGGAAAGCCACGGCUAACUACGUGCCAGCCGCCGCGGUAAUAC